rnacentral:rRNA from 1 species
AUUGAACGCUGGCGGCAUGCCUUACACAUGCAAGUCGAACGGCAGCACGGGUGCUUGCACCUGGUGGCGAGUGGCGAACGGGUGAGUAAUACAUCGGAACAUGUCCUGUAGUGGGGGAUAGCCCGGCGAAAGCCGGAUUGAUACCGCAUACGAUCUACGGAUGAAAGCGGGGGACCUUCGGGCCUCGCGCUAUGUGGUUGGCCGAUGGCUGAUUAGCUAGUUGGUGGGGUAAAGGCCUACCAAGGCGACGAUCAGUAGCUGGUCUGAGAGGACGACCAGCCACACUGGGACUGAGACACGGCCCAGACUCCUACGGGAGGCAGCAGUGGGGAAUUUUGGACAAUGGGCGAAAGCCUGAUCCAGCAAUGCCGCGUGUGUGAAGAAGGCCUUCGGGUUGUAAAGCACUUUUGUCCGGAAAGAAAUCCUUGGCCCUAAUACGGUCGGGGGAUGACGGUACCGGAAGAAUAAGCACCGGCUAACUACGUG